rnacentral:rRNA from 1 species
AUUUAACGGCCACGGUACCCUAACCGUGCAAAGGUAGCAUAAUCACUUGUUCUUUAAAUGAGGACUAGUAUCAACGGCAUCACGAGGAUCCUACUGUCUCCCCCCUCUAAUCAGUGAAACUGAUCUCCCCGUGAAGAAGCGGGGAUAUACAUAUAAGACGAGAAGACCCCAUGGAGCUUUAAACCUGACAGCACCCGCUCAUUCUAUACCCCAUUAUUUGCCCGACCCCUGUCUGCUCAGUUUUAGGUUGGGGUGACCACGGAGUAUAAAAUAACCUCCAUGAAGAAGGGAUAUUUCCCUUAUUAGAGAACCACACUUCCAGAACUAAUAAAUUAAUUUUCAAUGACCCGAUACCCGAUAAUCGAUCAACGAACCAAGUUACCCUGGGG